AUAUAAUAUAUAAUAUAUCUACUAAUUUACUUACGCUCAAUUCGGUCAUGCGACGAGUGGGUCCUGUGCGACGGGGCACCGUGAACCAUGUCAGGCGGGGAACCGAGCAGCAUUAAGCGGGCCGUCCUGUGCGCCACAGUCCGCCUGCUCGUCGUGUGACCGAGUGGAGCGUAAGUUUUUAUUU
rnacentral:SRP_RNA from 1 species